rnacentral:rRNA from 1 species
UUGAACGCUGGCGGCCGGCCUCACCCCUGCCAGUCGAACGGUAACAGGAAGAAGCUUGCUUCUUUGCUGACGCGUGGCGGACGGGUGAGUAAUGUCUGGGAAACUGCCUGAUGGAGGGGGAUAACUACUGGAAACGGUAGCUAAUACCGCAUAACGUCGCAAGACCAAAGAGGGGGACCUUCGGGCCUCUUGCCAUCGGAUGUGCCCAGAUGGGAUUAGCUAGUAGGUGGGGUAACGGCUCACCUAGGCGACGAUCCCUAGCUGGUCUGAGAGGAUGACCAGCCACACUGGAACUGAGACACGGUCCAGACUCCUACGGGAGGCAGCAGUGGGGAAUAUUGCACAAUGGGCGCAAGCCUGAUGCAGCCAUGCCGCGUGUAUGAAGAAGGCCUUCGGGUUGUAAAGUACUUUCAGCGGGGAGGAAGGGAGUAAAGUUAAUACCUUUGCUCAUUGACGUUACCCGCAGAAGAAGCACCGGCUAACUCCGUG